AACUGAUUAGAAGCUUGCUUCUAUGACGUUAGCGGCGGACGGGUGAGUAACACGUGGGCAACCUGCCUGUAAGACUGGGAUAACUUCGGGAAACCGAAGCUAAUACCGGAUAGGAUCUUCUCCUUCAUGGGAGAUGAUUGAAAGAUGGUUUCGGCUAUCACUUACAGAUGGGCCCGCGGUGCAUUAGCUAGUUGGUGAGGUAACGGCUCACCAAGGCAACGAUGCAUAGCCGACCUGAGAGGGUGAUCGGCCACACUGGGACUGAGACACGGCCCAGACUCCUACGGGAGGCAGCAGUAGGGAAUCUUCCGCAAUGGACGAAAGUCUGACGGAGCAACGCCGCGUGAGUGAUGAAGGCUUUCGGGUCGUAAAACUCUGUUGUUAGGGAAGAACAAGUACGAGAGUAACUGCUCGUACCUUGACGGUACCUAACCAGAAAGCCACGGCUAACUACGUGCCAGCAGCCGCGGUAAUACGUAGGUGGCAAGCGUUAUCCGGAAUUAUUGGGCGUAAAGCGCGCGCAGGCGGUUUCUUAAGUCUGAUGUGAAAGCCCACGGCUCAACCGUGGAGGGUCAUUGGAAACUGGGGAACUUGAGUGCAGAAGA
rnacentral:rRNA from 1 species